UAUUAUUGCGUUGGCAAAAACGUUCAUUCAGAUUUAUCUGUAAGAUGGUACAGAAAAACCCAAAUGAACUUUUUGGCCAACUCAAUCUAAUAUAC
rnacentral:miRNA from 1 species